rnacentral:rRNA from 1 species
CUACGGGUGGCAGCAGUGAGGAAUAUUGCACAAUGGGGGGAACCCUGAUGCAGCAACGCCGCGUGGAGGAUGACGCAUUUCGGUGUGUAAACUCCUUUUAUAUGUCAAGAAAAUGACGGUAGCAUAUGAAUAAGCACCGGCUAACUCCGUACCAGCAGCCGCGGUAAUACGGAGGGUGCAAGCGUUACUCGGAAUCACUGGGCGUAAAGGACGCGUAGGCGGGUUGGAAAGUCAGGUGUGAAAUCCUACAGCUUAACUGUAGAACUGCACUUGAAACUUCUAAUCUAGAGUAUGGGAGGGGGAGAUGGAAUUAGUGGUGUAGGGGUAAAAUCCGUAGAUAUCACUAGGAAUACCUAAAGCGAAGGCGAUCUCCUGGAACAUUACUGACGCUAAGGCGUGAUAGCGUGGGGAGCAGACAGGAUUAGAUACCCUGGUAGUC